UACGUAGGUGGCAAACGUUGUUCGGAAUCACUGGGCUUAAAGGGCGCGUAGGCGGGCUCGCAAGUCUGUGGUGAAAGCCUCCAGCUUAACUGGAGAAGUGCCGUGGAUACUGCGGGUCCUGAGCAGGGUAGGGGCAUCUGGAACUGCCGGUGGAGCGGUGAAAUGCGUUGAUAUCGGCAGGAACUCCGAUGGCGAAAGCAAGGUGCUGGACCCUUUCUGACGCCGAGGCGCGAAAGCCAGGGGAGCAAAC
rnacentral:rRNA from 1 species